AUUGAACGCUGGCGGCAUGCUUUACACAUGCAAGUCGAACGGUAACAGGGAGCUUGCUCCGCUGACGAGUGGCGAACGGGUGAGUAAUGCAUCGGAACGUACCCAGUCGUGGGGGGAUAACGUAGCGAAAGUUACGCUAAUACCGCAUACGUCCUGAGGGAGAAAGCGGGGGACCGUAAGGCCUCGCGCGAUUGGAGCGGCCGAUGUCGGAUUAGCUAGUUGGUAGGGUAAAGGCCUACCAAGGCGACGAUCCGUAGCGGGUCUGAGAGGAUGAUCCGCCACACUGGGACUGAGACACGGCCCAGACUCCUACGGGAGGCAGCAGUGGGGAAUUUUGGACAAUGGGCGAAAGCCUGAUCCAGCCAUGCCGCGUGAGUGAAGAAGGCCU
rnacentral:rRNA from 1 species